CAGAGGCUCCCAGUUAUCUAGAAACAAGGCGAGACGUCUGAUCUGCACGCUAUUGCAGCCUGGCUCUGCUCUAUUGUACCAAUUGAUUGGUAACCACAGGUCCCUAGAUGCUUAUAGGACGAAGCAGAAAACCACAUUUAAUUUGUUUACAUGAAAUCUUAAACUUUUUUUUUUUUUAACCGAGAAAAAAAAAGAGAAUGUAUACUGAUUUUAGCACCUUCCCCUCUACAGCUACCAAACAGAAAUAAUUGUUGCAUGUGGGCUCCAAGGUUGGCAAACGUGACGGCAGAAAUACAUGCUUUGCACCCACGGAAAAAUAAAGCGGGGGGGGGGAGAAGAAAAGUGAUGCAAAUACAUCAGUUCAGAAGCACGUUGUUUUCAAAGAACCGAGUCUCUGACGUCACGCAAAACCUAUUCAAAUUAACCUGCCUGUAAGUUUAACAUUCAUUUUCGGGACCCUUUCCCCUGACAUGGAAAAUAGACUGUCCAGCAUCCCUCUCAGUGAAAGUUUGGAAAGCUCACCGGCAGCGGCUACGCCUGCUUGCAACAUUUCUAUAUAUUUCUGCGGGGAAGGGAAGGAAAUGAAUGGUUUUAAUCUGAAGGAUCAAUGUUGUAUUAGCUAAGAUUUCCCCCCACCCUCCUUCGUCACUGAAAGGCUGGUAAGCACUUUUAAUUAGAAAUUAAUUAAUGAGCAGCUGCUUCUUCCCACCCCACAGUAAUAAUUAGUCUCAAUUACAAACAAGACAUAUGAAGGGACACACGACUGAAUCUUCAUUUAAGAUUUAAUCAACAGUUAAAAUUAGCGCUAACGCUGACAAUAAAGCACAUGACAUGCAAUCCUGCUUUUCUUUUCGGCUUUUAUUCCAGACGUGUGAUUACAGGUAGAAAACCCUACAAGCGUAUUGCGGGGAAUGAUUGAAAGGACGUGACUUUUCACGUUAAAACCACUUUGAUCCCAUGGCAAACCUCGGCUGGAAAAGCCAGCCUUUCGCGGGGCGGAGGGCCAUAGCCAGCCUGCCUGUGCUCCGAGCUGGAAGACUGCCUCCCAGAAACGAAUCUGCCCACACUGACAGCUCGAUUGAGGGUGAUUGAUGACUAUCUGGAGACCACAGUACACAUAAUAUAAUAUCUGCUGCGUAAUUGCUUUAAUUUACAGAUGAAAAUACUAGUUCUCGGAUUGAGUUAGACUACAACGAGCGGCGUUUUAUGGCGCUUUAGAGUGUUUGCAAAUAAAAAGAUAUCAGAUACAGUACAUGCAAAUUAUCCUGACAGCUCAGUAUCUGUAGCCGGGAGAAAGGUAUAAAGGACAGGAAUCAAAUGACAUUAAUAAUAGGGUUUGAAUUCUGUAUUGAUUUUUGGGGGGAAGAAAGUGCCUAUUCUUUCCUCACCUGAAAUGCUAAUACCUUCUUCUUUCUGGGAAUAUUAAUAACUUAGCCAUUGGGUCUCUGUUCCAGAAACGCGCCUUUAUUCCUUCUGCUACCCCGGUGCUGCCAGGAUAUAAUGAUACUUUUAGCUACUAUUUACAAGCAGCUUCCCUCUAUGAGACGUGCUGACGGGCUAUUGCAUUGUUUGGGAAGAAAAGACACCCGGUGUUUACACAAUGGUCUGCACGCAGCGUUUGGUGCUGCUCGCUCUGCCUCCUGCGCUGAUUGCGCUGGGGGAUGUUUAUUUAAGCCCUGGAGUAUAACUCACCGGUGCUAGGGAAGAAAACAGUUGCACUUAUCUCAAGAGCAGCUCGGUGUAAAGCACUAUAAUUAGCUGGGCGAGCUAGAGAACUGCCUCGAGAAGUCCUCCCAGUUUUCCAGACUACAGUUUGGGAGAUGUCCUGGUGUUCUGUGGUUUGGGUUUGUGUGUCGUGUCCCCCCUCCCCGCUCUCUUUUUUUUUUUCUUCCUUUCCCUCUUUUGAUAAUACUGCAGAUGUCAACUCCGCAGUGGCCCACAGAACACUACGGGUUUUGAUAUUUAGAUGAGUCUAUUAAACUUUAAAAUACAAGGUGAAAUUCAAUAUUUAUAGUCCUUGUCUAUUUAUAUAUCACAGUUGUCUUUCACUGCACCGUGCAAAUACUCUGGUGCCCAUUUUUGCACUGAACUUUCCUGUAUUAAUCAUGAUAAUUAUUUGUCAUUUUUCUUUACAGCCUGCGUGCUCUACUACUUCACCCUCGGUCAGCUUUGUGCCAGUUCCAAUAUGUAUUCCCUGGAAAGCAGUCAUUAGAAAAAAAACCAACAAACCAAACCAACACCAAAAAAAGCCCACCAAAACAAACCAACAAAAAACUUAAUAACCUUAAACACUUAAUAGCCUUGAACGCCAAAAGCUGACAUUACAUCUUCCUCCAGCGUUCAUGUCUUGUUUCACUUACAAUCUACAAAUAAUGGCCCUUUGUUGAUAAGAAACUCAACACAAUUAUAUUUCAUUUUGAAUUUUUGGUGCCAGCGCACAAACAUGCAAUAAGCCCCAUCAUGAUUUAAAAUAACCUUUGUGGUUCUUGCACAUAAACAACGUAACACUGUUCAAAUCCAAGCAAAGACGCUUAAUGCUGCAGGCUAUAUCCUUAAGCAUUUGGAAAAUGCAAGUCUUUGCUGUGCAAUAAAAAUUGAUCCUUGUCAAAGCCCCUUUCCCGUACAAAGCAGUUAACAGCUUUCGAGAAAGAGAAACCCACGCUGCUUUCGCCAAAGUUUGAGCAAGUAAACCCAUCGCGAUCAAUAGGAAACGCUGGAGAGUUCCCCUCUUGUAAGAGUCAGCCUGCACACCCAUGCGAGCAGGUAUUUUACAGCCAAAGCCCAAGCAAGUCCCCCUCCGAGGGUUUAUGUGUUUCUUCUCCGAGAACCUGGAGCCAACGUUCAUACAAGUUUUAUCAUAAAAGCAUGAAACGAGAAGGAAACGCUGUGAUGCUGGAACAGGCCACAGCAGGUAAAACAGAGAACCUCUUCAGGACUAACGCUUUGAUGGACGUCUUCAGGGACAUGAUCUAGAGGCAGUUAAUGCAGCUACACUUUUACUAUCUGCAUUUUCAUCGCCUCCUCUUUUGGAGGGGUUAUUGCCACUCCUGGAAAUAUUUCAGCGACGGAAUUUGCUUAUGGGCUAAACAGACUUUACCGCGCUCUUUCAGUCGACUUUGCUUUGUUUUCACGUUACAGAUUUAAAGCAACCUUGACACCGCCUGACAAACGCUGUGAAGCUCUACAUGUUGCCCAUUUGGGAUCUGACAUGGAACCGAGGGCAGCCUACAACAUUUUCAAGUAGAUUAGCUCCCAUAAAGUCGCUAUCGACAGUAAAUACGAUUGUUGUGGUUUUUUUUUUUUUUUUCCUGAGCCCAUCUGAGGUGUAAUUGCAUCUCCUGCAUUCUGAAUCGAGGGACAGCAAGCUGAUGCUGCCGACCUGCAACAAACCUAUGCAAUGGCUUGUGAUCGGUAGAGCUAUGAUGACAAACAUAACAGUUGCAUAAGAAGGAGCCGCUAAUUAAUUUACUCAGAUUACAACUACACGUAAAAUCAGUUGUUCAAAGUUAUCCGUUUGAAUGCUUUCAUUUUGUAAGGCUUCAAUCCUCUUGGCAAACAAUCUAGAUUAAAGCAGAAAGGCCUCA